rnacentral:rRNA from 1 species
UACGGGAGGCAGCAGUGGGGAAUAUUGCACAAUGGGCGAAAGCCUGAUGCAGCUAUGCCGCGUGUAUGAAGAAGGCCUUAGGGUUGUAAAGUACUUUCAUCGGGGAGGAAAAAACAAAACUAAUAAUUUUAUUUCUUGACGUUACCCGAAAAAGAAGCACCGGCUAACUCCGUGCCAGCAGCCGCGGUAAUACGGAGGGUGCUAGCGUUAAUCAGAAUUACUGGGCGUAAAGAGCACGUAGGUGGUUUUUUUAAGUCAGAUGUGAAUCCCUGGGCUUAACCUAGGAACUGCAUUUUGAAACUGAAAUACUAGAGUAUCGUAGAGGGAGGUAGAAUUCUAGGUGUAGCGGUGAAAUGCGUAGAUAUCUGGAGGAAUACCUGUGGCGAAAGCGGCCUCCUAAACGAAUACUGACACUGAGGGUGCGAAAGCGUGGGGAGCAAACAGGGAUUAGAUACC